rnacentral:rRNA from 1 species
CCUACGGGAGGCAGCAGUAGGGAAUCUUCCACAAUGGGCGAAAGCCUGAUGGAGCAACGCCGCGUGGGUGAAGAAGGUCUUCGGAGCGUAAAACCCUGUUGUUAGAGAAGAAAGUGCGUGAGAGUAACUGUUCACGUUUCGACGGUAUCUAAACAGAAAGCCACGGCUAACUACGUGCCAGCAGCCGCGGUAAUACGUAGGUGGCAAGCGUUAUACGGAUUUAUUGGGCGUAAAGGGAACGCAGGCGGUCUUGUAAGGUGAAUGGUAAAGCCUUCGGCUUAACCGGAGUAGUGCAUUGGAAACUGGGAGACUUGAGUGCAGAAGAGGAGAGUGGAAUGCCAUGUGUAGCGGUGAAAUGCGUAGAUAUAUGGCAGAACACCAGUGGCGAAAGCGGCUCUCUGGUCUGUAACUGACGCUGAGGUUCGAAAGCGUGGGUAGCAAACAGGAUUAGAUACCCGAGUAGUC